UAAUACGGGGGGUGCAAGCGUUAUUCGGAAUUAUUGGGCGUAAAGGGCGCGUAGGCGGUCUCUUAAGUCAGAUGUGAAAGCCCGGGGCUUAACCCCGGAAGUGCAUUUGAAACUAAGGGACUUGAGUAUGGGAGAGGGAAGUGGAAUUCCUGGUGUAGAGGUGAAAUUCGUAGAUAUCAGGAGGAACACCGGUGGCGAAGGCGACUUCCUGGACCAAUACUGACGCUAAGGCGCGAAGGCGUGGGGAGCAAACAGGAUUAGAUACCCUGGUAGUCCACGCAGUAAACGGUGAGCACUAGGUGUAGCGGGUAUUGACCCCUGCUGUGCCGUAGCUAACGCAUUAAGUGUUCCGCCUGGGGAGUACGGUCGCAAGAUUA
rnacentral:rRNA from 1 species